CAGCAACCAAAGUGGGCGUGGCCUGCCUCCUGCGGGGAGCACAAAGCUGUCUUUGCUGGAAUGGAAAGAGAUCUUGUUGUAAGAGGAGCGUUGGAUGAACCAGCCCCAACCCAGGGUCUAGAGUUUGAGGAGUGACAAGGGCAGAUCUCUAAGGAAGCGAAACUCCUCUGAGACCCGACAGGGAACCAGCUUCCUCGAGGAACCUGAGUGAAAGGAGGACCUGUCACCUGAGCCUCCUCAGGUCAUCCAUCGUCCUCGAAGGAUCCAUCCUGAGGCAUCAACUGAAAAUUAUGGCUCCUGAGAAAGAAUAAAGCACACUGUUCACUGCCAGGAUGAGUGUCCCUGUGGCAGCAUCUAGAGCUUGCCUGUUGCUCCUGCUAACGACCUCUGUCCCCCGUGUGGCCCUUUCUUUCUGUCACUUCUGUAGCUGUACUGUUGACAACUCUUCUCUAGGUGUCUCUGAAGCCCUGAAAGGCCUCUCAGCUUGGCAUGGCCCCCCGCCCCGCCCCAGCUCGCUCUCUUGAUGCCCAUGUGUGUGACUUGACAGCAUUCCUGCCUUGCUGGCCCACUGCCCCACUCCAAGGAAGGACGCUCUCAAGGUCCAGGUCCCUGGCAGUGUCAGGGCAACAUCAGUGGAAUGAGAACCCUGCUGAGCACAUGGGGCAGCUGUUUCCGUGGGACCUGCUGUCCUGACCUGGGAGUGCCAUGCUGGGGACAUGCUGAGGACCACAGGUGAUUUGAUGAAGGUAGUACUGUGUACCUUGCAAACACACCUCCAGUUAGUUACUCUCAGACGCUGCAGAUUUUCAAUUUUCUAGUAAAAGGAUUUCAUCAUAAAAGAGCUAGCCCCAGAAGUACCACCUUGUGACCUUUCAGAUAGAAUUUAGAGGGUUUAGAGAUGGCCCCAGGGAACUGCCUUUUCUGUACAAAGAUCCAGCUGUGUCCU
rnacentral:lncRNA from 1 species